CCUACGGGAGGCAGCAGUGAGGAAUAUUGGUCAAUGGGCGCGAGUCUGAACCAGCCAAGUCGCGUGAAGGAUGACUGCCCUACGGGUUGUAAACUUCUUUUAUAAAGGAAUAAAGUGAGGCACGUGUGCCUUUUUGUAUGUACUUUAUGAAUAAGGAUCGGCUAACUCCGUGCCAGCAGCCGCGGUAAUACGGAGGAUCCUAGCGUUAUCCGGAUUUAUUGGGUUUAAAGGGAGCGUAGAUGGGCUGUUAAGUCAGUUGUGAAAGUUUGCGGCUCAACCGUAAAAUUGCAAUUGAUACUGGCAGUCUUGAGUGCAGUUGAGGUAGGCGGAAUUCGUGGUGUAGCGGUGAAAUGCUUAGAUAUCACGAAGAACUCCGAUUGCGAAGGCAGCUUACUAAACUGCAACUGACGUUGAUGCUCGAAAGUGUGGGUAUCAAACAGGAUUAGAUACCCGAGUAGUC
rnacentral:rRNA from 1 species